UACGUAGGGUGCAAGCGUUAAUCGGAAUUACUGGGCGUAAAGCGUGCGCAGGCGGUGAUGUAAGACAGGUGUGAAAAUCCCCGGGCUUAACCUGGGAACUGCAUUUGUGACUGGCAUCGCUGGAGUGCGGCAGGAGGGGAUGGAAUUCCGCGUGUAGCAGUGAAAUGCGUAGAUAUGCGGAGGAACACCGAUGGCGAAGGCAAUCCCCGUGGGCCUGCAC
rnacentral:rRNA from 1 species